rnacentral:rRNA from 1 species
AGAGUUUGAUCCUGGCUCAGGAUUAACGCUAGCGACAGGCCUAACACAUGCAAGUCGAGGGGGCGAGCAUUUUUGUAAGCUUGCUUCAAAAGAUGGCGACCGGCGCACGGGUGAGUAACGCGUAUGGAACCAACCCGCAACAGGGGGAUAACCCGGAGAAAUCCGGACUAAUACCGCAUGGUACUCUUUGCACAGAAGUGUGAAGAUUUAAAGAUGCGAAUCGGUUGCGGACGGUCAUGCGUUCCAUUAGCUAGUU